rnacentral:tRNA from 1 species
GCCUGGGUGGCUCAGUCGGUUAAGCAUCUGACUUCGGCUCAGGUUAUGAUCUCGCGGUCCGUGAGUUCGAGCCCCGCGUCAGGCU